rnacentral:rRNA from 1 species
AACUUUCAACAACGGAUCUCUUGGUUCUGGCAUCGAUGAAGAACGCAGCGAAAUGCGAUACGUAGUGUGAAUUGCAGAAUUCAGUGAAUCAUCG